GAUGAACGCUGGCGGCGUGCCUAAUACAUGCAAGUCGAGCGAACGGACGAGAAGCUUGCUUCUCUGAUGUUAGCGGCGGACGGGUGAGUAACACGUGGAUAACCUACCUAUAAGACUGGGAUAACUUCGGGAAACCGGAGCUAAUACCGGAUAAUAUUUUGAACCGCAUGGUUCAAAAGUGAAAGACGGUCUUGCUGUCACUUAUAGAUGGAUCCGCGCUGCAUUAGCUAGUUGGUAAGGUAACGGCUUACCAAGGCAACGAUGCAUAGCCGACCUGAGAGGGUGAUCGGCCACACUGGAACUGAGACACGGUGCAGACUCCUACGGGAGGCAGCAGUAGGGAAUCUUCCGCGAUGGGCGAAAGCCUGACGGAGCAACGCCGCGUGAGUGAUGAAGGUCUUCGGAUCGUAAAACUCUGUUAUUAGGGAAGAACAUAUGUGUAAGUAACUGUGCACAUCUUGACGGUACCUAAUCAGAAAGCCACGGCUAACUACGUG
rnacentral:rRNA from 1 species